rnacentral:rRNA from 1 species
AUUGAACGCUGGCGGCGUGCCUAACACAUGCAAGUCGAGCGGUAACAGGUGUAGCAAUACAUGCUGACGAGCGGCGAACGGGUGAGUAAUGCUUCGGAAUCUGCCCAUGUAGUGGGGAAUAACCAGCCGAAAGGUUGGCUAAUACCGCAUACGACCUACGGGUGAAAGCAGGGGAUCGCAAGACCUUGCGCUAUUGGAUGAGCCGAAGUCGGAUAGCUAGUUGGUAGGGUAACGGCCGUACCAAGGCGACGAUCCGUAGCUGGUCUGAGAGGACGACCAGCCACACUGGGACGUGAGACACGGCCCA